rnacentral:misc_RNA from 1 species
GAUGAAGAACGUAGUGAAAUGCGAUAAGUAAUGUGAAUUGCAGAAUUCAGUGAAUCAUCGAAUCUUUGAAUGCACAUUGCGCCCGCCAGUAUUCUGGCGGGCAUGCCUGUCUGAGCGUCAUUUCAACCCUCAUGCCCCUAGGGCGUGGUGUUGGGGAUCGGCCAAAGCCCGCGAGGGACGGCCGGCCCCUAAAUCUAGUGGCGGACCCGUCGUGGCCUCCUCUGCGAAGUAGUGAUAUUCCGCAUCGGAGAGCGAUGAGCCCCUGCCGUUAAACCCCCAACUUUCCAAGGUUGACCUCAGAUCAGGUAGGAAUACCCGCUGAACUUAAGCAUAUCAAUAAGCGGAGGA